GGCUUCUAUUACAGUAGGAGCUCGUAUUUGGUGGUUUUACCCUAUGUAAUGAAUAACUAAAUUUUCGAUUCCAUUAAAUACGGUUCAGUCAGUGGUGAGUUCUUUGUUGAUUGAUCAACAUGUUGAAACGAAUCAUAACGUUUGCUGUGAUUUUUUUAGUUACGAUAACCAUUGCCAGCUCGAUUCCUAAUUCCCGCAUUGUCGAGCCCGCUGAUAAUAUUCGCAUGGAAAACGUGACUUGCCCGGAGUGUGUUACAUGUUAUUUGAAAUGCAAAUGCGUAUUGCCGGGAACGGAUAUCAUCAAAAACUAUUCGGAUUUCAUUCAACCUCGGCCAGAACAUUGUCCAAAAUGUGUAUGUGACCCGUCGGAUGAUUGUACCGAUUCUCCGAACUACAAAUUGUGUCCAUCACAAUAAAAUGGAAAUAAAAUCAAUUUAUAAUUUGAAAUCAA